rnacentral:lncRNA from 10 species
AUAGUGCGCAUGCUUGAGCCCACUUACCUAACACCUGAGAUCUUAUUGGGACGCUGCUGAUAACCAGUUUCAGAGACAGGGUUUCACCAUGUUGUACAGGCUAGUCUCCAACCCCUGGGCUUAAGCAAUCCUUCUGCCUCGGCCUCCCAAAGUGCUGGGAUUACAGAUACUACAGUCUAUCCAAGUUAACGUAACAUUACUUUCUCAAUGAUCACAAUGAUACUGGGAGUUGACGAGGCUUGUAACAAUCUACUGGGAUGAUGUGAGCCUUUAUUAACCUCAUCAGAGAUGCUCAAGCACUGAAUUGUCUUAAGAAAACAAGUAAGGUUUUGUCACCUAUCCUAUUUCUCACUGCAAGUUGAAAAAAAUCAAAUCCAAACACCACCACCCCUUCUAUGACAACAAACGGCUGUGGAG